GUUAAUUCCAUGUUGCUUUGAUUUCGUCCAUAUGUUAUUCAACAUGUACGCACUAACAACAACAUAAAUCUUCUAAUACUACUUCACACGUGUAUUUCCUUUGGUUGAUAAUUGAUAUGCUUCAGCAAAACCUUCUUCGUUGCGUUUCUUGGGCCAAAGAUGUACAGAAAAUCAAGAAUAUAUAUAUAAACAUCAGUAUAAAGAAAAAUACCAAAUCAACCAUAUUUACUGCUCUUCAUUAUGUAAGAAGUAUAGAAAGGAACUUACAAUAAUUGCACUAAGCUGCAAUACAAUCUCCACUCUAAAUUUUCACACAAGAACAUG
rnacentral:misc_RNA from 1 species